UCUAUUUGCAUUUGGUAUAUUAGGAGUGCUGCAGAGCAUUUUGGAGUAAACAGGAGAUAUCAGGGCAUGGAGAUCCACUUGCUCCAAAAGAUGGUAAUGCCAAGGCUAAGAGAGCCUGUGUGCAUGUGGAAUGUGUCCCUGGCACUUCAAAACCCAAAAGCAUAGACGGGCAGUAUAACACUGGGCCUAGGAGAAUAAAGGAAGCCAGCAAGCCACCAAGUGAAGGGACUGGAGACAUGGAAAGUGGCCAGAGCAUCCUGGUGUCCACACAGGAGUCAGGAAAUCAGGAGGAAGGCAAGGUCUUAGAAUUCAGUGCAGAGACCUGGUGGGAGGGUGCCUGUGCCCAGCUGUGAGGACACUUCUCCAGGGGAGCCGGAUAAUGGCUUUCAUAUGGCUAGCGUGACUGCUGGCUCCAACACAGCAGUGCAGCGACACUGUAACUUACACAGGUAGAGCAAGUUCUCAGGUGCAGCGCAGUUGUCGCCUCCAUACAGCUCAGGAUGGAGGCUGCUCCUCCUCUUCGAAGCUGAGGUCUAAACUGAUGAAGCUGAUGUCAUGUAUCAGUGGAAGGGCAGGGACCAGAAGACCCUCUGCAGGAUCUCCCUUCUUCAUUAAGAACAGGUCAUUUUGAGAUGAGCAUCUCAAAUAUCUGUUACUGAUGCUAGAGAUGUGUUUGUCCAUAAGGUUCUUUAAAAACAAAUAACCGACAGGCCCCAAAGGAAGAAAAUGGACCUGUUUUGGACUGUGCCCUCUAUUCCACUUAGACUCUGUGUUACUCACUCCACACAGGAAGAUGUUCAGUAGCUGCCCAGCAUCCAAAUGGAAGUGUGGCCAUCAUUUAUUUAACCAAUCCCCAGUUGUUGGAGAUGCAGGCUGUCCAUAUCUUUUCCCUCUCUUGUGAAGGGAGCUACAGCAAAAGCUCACAGCAGCUAGUGAUCCGUAGGCCUGCUCAUUCCAGGGUAAGAUCUUCCAGUGGUCCUGAGGGAACCUGCUCACUCGCCCACUGGAAAGGCUGCAAGGUACCUUCCUUGUGUCUUCCCUAAAAACCAGUCACGUUUCCAAAUCGAUGUUGUGAAGGGAGAUGUUGGACGGACUCUCCCCAUGCUUCCCUCACUGUUAGUGAAGCUGAACUCUUUUUGUGGAUUCAUUAACACAUUUUUCUUCUGUAGAUUGCUUUUGUCUUGUCCCGGGUUAAUUUCUAUCUGGAUGACUUUACAUUUAUGAGCGAUAAGAACUUUUGCAUAUUUGGGUACUAAGAUAUUGGUAUAUUUGCAUAUUCGGGUAUUAAGAUAGUAACCCAUCAUUGAAUGUAUCACAAGUAUUUUUCACAGACAUUUUUCUUUUCAUUUUAUGUUCAAAUCCGCUGACCACCCUCAACAGCUAUGUUCUCUGCUAGUUGUUUGCUUGAGAACCCUUUCUUUGUGACAUCUUACAUGCCUUUGGUUAGCCCUCCCCCACCCCACUCCCACCUUCUGUUUACCCUCCCCCCUCUGCCUUUAGUUAGACCUCCCCCACUUUUGGUUAGCCCUCACCUCCACCCCUUCUCCUUGUUCCUAACCUUAGUCACUUCUUCUGGAACAGUCUCCCUUAUGCAUUUGUUGUGAUUAUUAGUUCAUCUUACUAGUUCAGAUUAACCGGUUUCUUCCUGACUGUCCAUCUCUUGAAUUAUAUCCCAUGCUCUGGGUCUCAUAAUUUGAUUAACUUCUGUAGCCUGUGUCAAAUAGUAGUAUAUUCCUCUACCCACGUCUUCAAAAAAGCAAACAACUAUGCCACUCCCAUCAUGGUUCCUGCUACUUCUGCAUCGAAAGAACGGACAGACAGUAAUAGAAAUGAAGUAGAAACCCACAAAACAGAGCAAAGAAAAAGAAAACCCAGCAUUUUGGUUUCCUGUACAAUGAAGGUCUCUGCAGACUACUUUGCGAUGAUGAUCUCUUCGUAAGCUGUCUUCAGGUCUCCUUCACACAUGGGACAAGUGGAGGGGAGGGGUUCCUAAGCUCUCAGAGCUGAGCCUUGUGGGGUCCUAUGGCCAAAUUUGGCACUCCAGGCUUGAGAUUAACUUAUCUCAGUUUGCACCCUGCAAACCGUGCUGCCUCCUGUGACCUCAAGGAGAAGGGUGCCUACAACGUUGAGUCUCCCUCUCUGACAGAAUAGGCCUUCUGUUGGAAAUCAGCAGUGUAGCAAGAUCGGCUGGAUUAACCUUACUAAUGACUCCCUGCUCUGCCCAGGUACUGCUAAAAGGAAUGUGCUCCCCACCAAGAUCUCCUGACUUUUUGUUGUGUAGCUGAGGUUUGGCUAGUAUGCCAUUCUGGUGGACAAUGAUGUCGCUAGGACACCAUACCAACGUGGCCAGUAGAUCAUCUCUCUGGCAAAGAGACCAUCAUCAAAGACCACCUGGCUCAGGCCACAGACUCCUAGUCAAAGCAGCAGGAGGACACUGUCAGGAACACUGGGAUCCCAUCUCUUGGAGCCUUUAUGAGAGAGGGCAGGGCACAGGACAUAAGAAGUUCAUCUCGGUGACCAACGUGUCCAAACAGUCCAGAGGCUUCUUUUAUUGGGUGAGGCAGCAGGUGACCCAGGGAAGACAUCAGGAUAGAAGGUGUCUCUGAGUGAAAGUUCGUGCAGACCAACGGAUGUUUUAUUCUUUUAGAUAAGUCACAAUUUCAAGUAACCUAAAAGAAAACGACAGCAGCUUCAGUAUUCUCAGGUGCCUGCCCUGACUGCAUCGAGGUAAGGGGCGUACCCAAUAUCCACCUCCUGUGCUCCAGCUCUGGCUACUGCGUUCAUCUUGCUACUGUGCUGUGCCUGGUACUUCUGCGUGUUGUUGGGAAGACCUAGGGAGAAGAAAGGCAUGACUGAGAACACAGAUGACCCGAGAUGAAAGACUGCCUCUCAAAGUUUUUCUUUCAAACCAAAGCCUUUUGAAGACCUUUUCCUGGCUCUUGCCGUCUGGCUGAACGUGGGCUCCCCAGGAGAGGUGGCUUCGGUAUGGUCACUGUGUCCGAGAAGCAGUUUGUAUUGCUAUGCAGCUCACAUUUGCCACUUACAAUUUCUGAAUACAAAUUAAUCAGCAUGCAGCUGUGAAUGACAGUAAAGCACAUGAUAAUGUACCUGCAGAAUCCAGGGCAUCCGAAACAGGCUCUCGGGUGGCCGUCAGAAAUAGCCAGCUAGAGCUUUGUUGCCUGUUUUCCAUAAUUGUGUAGCUUUGCCUUUCCCUAGUUAAUCUGUUUAAUAAACUCCCCUGCAGAAUCUAAA